UAGAGAGUGUGGGCAAAUCUCUCCUCUCUCUCUCCUCCCUUCUCUUUCUCUCUCUCCUCCCAGCGCCUCCAUGGCUGCAGUUUUCAUUUCAUAUAUGUGAGUGAGAGUAAUAUAUCCACUAUCGGAGAAGCAGAAACGGAAGAAGAAGAAGAAGAAGAAGUGUUUGAGGGGGAUGUUGGCUGGCUCGAAGCAAUCACAGUUUGCUGUUAACAGUGAGAAUGUGAAGGCAUCGGACCAGGCUUCAUUCCUCUCAAAACAUUUACUCAUCAUAUACAAAUCCAUCUGCUUCUCCGUUUUCCUUUUCUGUGUAUCUAUAUAACACUCUCUCUUCUGUGUCUGUACGAUUAGGGUUCGUGGUGAAUUUUCAAUUCUGUGGACUCUCUGUCCAGUGGAUGAUGUAUCUAAUUAUGUACUCAUCAUUAGAUACAAACUGACCUAAAGAUGUCGUUUUUGCUUUGAAUUAAACCAUUUUUCUUGUGGAUUGAAACAUGAAAUUCAGUGUAUAAACAGUUCCAGGCAUCUAGGGUUAAGAAACCCUAUUACUCUAUUAUAUUUCCCGUUGACUGUUUUUUUCACCAAUUUUUUUCACUUUAAUGUUAACUAAUUAAACUGCUUCACACACACACACACACACUCUCUCUCUCUCUCUCUCUCAAAAAACGACGCCCAUUAAACACGGAAACACAGUCAAAUGCAGUAAGUUGAAGCGCAAAACAAGCUCUUUUUCAGACAACCUUGCUGCUGGCUUUUUUUAAAAAAAAUUAAAUUCAAUUAUAUAAUUAAUUUUUUUCGUUGCGAAGAUGCCCUUGUUCUUAAUGCUAAUCUAUUGGGAUGAAUUUCUCUAAACAAUCGUAAACUUCGACUAAAGAAAUUUGGUGAUUUUUCCACAAUCUCAUGAGAAAAUGUAAUGAAUUCGAAGAUUUGGAGUUACGAAAAUGUAGGAAGUCGGUGAAGUAAUUAAGGCACCGCCCUCUUGUGCCAGCAACGUUUAAAAUUUCAAUUUUAUGAACAUGUCACAUUAAUUUUUUACAUGAUGCAUCUUCUCUAAACAAUCUUAAAAUUUGACCGGAGAAAUUCGGUGAUUUUUCCACAAUAUCACAUGAAAAUUAUAAUGAAUUCAAGGAUUUGGAGUUACGAGGAUAUAGGUGGGCAAUGAAGUAAUUAAGGCACUGCCCUCUUGUGCCAGCAUCGUUUGGAAUUUCAAUUUUAUGAACAUGUCACAUUUUUUAUAUGAUAGCAGUUGAGUAAUUCAUUUGAAUCAAAGGGCUCACUAUCACCUAACCAUAUAUAGCAUUAUUCUUGGCAAAAAUGUCAUUUGGAUGAUGGAGCAUUGAUGAUUGGCGAUGAAAUUGUGACUUGCUUUAAUGGUUGUGAUAUUAAUGAAUAGCAUUUAUGUCUUUUUACUACCUUCAAAUGCGAACAUUUUUAUAUAUUUAUGAUUUGUUGGGUUUGAGGUAUGGAAACGUAACCGAUGAAUGUAAUUGUAAUGGCAGAUAUGACAGCAUUUAAUUUACACACUGAGAUCUGAUGAAAUGUUGAGAGCAUUGAUUUAAUGGAGAAAGAUUCCUUCC